UAGGGUUCUUUUUUUUUCAAUUUUUUUUCUUCCUCUCUCUCAUGUUAUCUUGUAUUCUGCAGUAUCGUUUUCUUCAGGAA
rnacentral:ribozyme from 1 species